rnacentral:rRNA from 1 species
GACGAACGCUGGCGGCGUGCUUAACACAUGCAAGUCGAACGGAAAGGCCCUGCUUUUGUGGGGUGCUCGAGUGGCGAACGGGUGAGUAACACGUGAGUAACCUGCCCUUGACUUUGGGAUAACUUCAGGAAACUGGGGCUAAUACCGGAUAGGAGCUCCUGCUGCAUGGUGGGGGUUGGAAAGUUUCGGCGGGUGGGGAUGGACUCGCGGCUUAUCAGCUUGUUGGUGGGGUAGUGGCUUACCAAGGCUUUGACGGGUAGCCGGCCUGAGAGGGUGACCGGCCUCAUUGGGACUGCGAUACGGCCCAGACUCCUACGGGAGGCAGCAGUGGGGAAUAUUGCACAAUGGGCGGAAGCCUGAUGCAGCAACGCCGCGUGCGGGAUGACGGCCUUCGGGUUGUAAACCGCUUUCGCCUGUGACGAAGCGUGAGUGACGGUAAUGGGUAAAGAAGCACCGGCUAACUACGUG